rnacentral:rRNA from 1 species
CCUACGGGGGUCAGCAGUGAGGAAUAUUGGUCAAUGGCCGGAAGGCUGAACCAGCCAUGCCGCGUGAAGGUCAGUGCCCUAUGGGCGUUAAACUUCUUUUGUGCGGGAGCAAUAAUGGUCACGUGUGGCCAGACGAGAGUACCGUACGAAUAAGCAUCGGCUAACUCCGUGCCAGCAGCCGCGGUAAUACGGGGGAUGCAAGCGUUAUCCGGAUUUAUUGGGUUUAAAGGGUGCGGAGGCGGGGAGGUAAGUCAGCGGUGAAAUGCCCCCGCUCAACGGGGUGAAGUGCCAUUGAUACUGCCUUGCUUGAAUGCGGAUGCCGUGGGAGGAAUGUGUGGUGUAGCGGUGAAAUGCAUAGAUAUCACACAGAACACCGAUUGCGAAGGCAUCUCACGAAUCCGCGAUUGACGCUGAUGCACGAAAGCGUGGGGAUCAAACAGGAUUAGAUACCCCGGUAGUC